rnacentral:misc_RNA from 1 species
GAUGAAGAACGCAGCGAAAUGCGAUAAGUAAUGUGAAUUGCAGAAUUCAGUGAAUCAUCGAAUCUUUGAACGCACAUUGCGCCCGCCAGUAUUCUGGCGGGCAUGCCUGUUCGAGCGUCAUUUCAACCAUCAAGCCCCAGGCUUGUGUUGGGGACCUGCGGCUGCCGCAGGCCCUGAAAACCAGUGGCGGGCUCGCUGUCACACCGGGCGUAGUAGAUUUUAUCUCGCUCAGGGCGUGCUGCGGGUUCCGGCCGUUAAAAAGCCUUUUUUACCCAAGGUUGACCUCGGAUCAGGUAGGAAGACCCGCUGAACUUAAGCAUAUCAAUAUGCGGAGGA